AGGUUGGCUCAGAAGCAGCCAUCCUUUAAAGAGUGCGUAACAGCUCACUAGUCGAGUGACCCUGCGCCGAAAAUGUACCGGGGCUAAGCCUGAUACCGAAACUGCGGAUUGUAGGAAACUAUAGUGGUAGGGGAGCGUUGUAUACGAGCAGAAGCCGUACCGUGAGGAGCGGUGGAUUGUAUAGAAGUGAGAAUGCCGGUGUGAGUAGCGAGAUGUAGGUGAGAAUCCUACACACCGAAAGCCCAAGGAUUCCAGGGGAAGGUUCGUCCGCCCUGGGUAAGUCGGGACCUAACGCGAGGCCGAAAGGCGUAGUGGAUGGAAAGCAGGCGAAAGAUUCCUGCACCCGUAUAUGGAGCGAAGGAGUGACGGAGACGGAUAGUGUGACCCUCUUAAUGGAUUGAGGGCGAAGCGAAGCGGCUGGUUACCAGGCAAAUCCGGUAACCAUAAGGCUAGAGCGUGACAGGUAAGCGAAAUCUUCGGAAAGUAGCGAAGCACAUGAUGACGGCUUCCAGGAAAAGCUUCUGGCAAUGCAUAUGCGGCCCGUACCAAAACCGACACAGGUGGGCAGGGAGAGAAUCCCGAGGUGAGCGAGAGAACUGUUGCCAAGGAACUCGGCAAAAUGACUCCGUAAGUUAGCGAGAAGGAGUGCUUAAGCAAUUAAGCCGCAGUGAAGAGGCCCAAGCGACUGUUUAACUAAAACACAGCUCUCUGCGAAGUCGCAAGACGAAGUAUAGGGGGUGACACCUGCCCGGUGCUGGAAGGUUAAGAGGAUCUGUUAAGAGCGAUCUGAAGCAGUGAUCCGAAGCCCCAGUGAACGGCGGCCGUAACUAUAACGGUCCUAAGGUAGCGAAAUUCCUUGUCAGGUAAGUUCUGACCCGCACGAAAGGUGUAACGAUUUGGGCGCUGUCUCGGCAGCAGACUCGGUGAAAUCUUAGUACCUGUGAAAAUGCAGGUUACCCGCAACUAGACGGAAAGACCCCAUGGAGCUUUACUGCAGCCUGAUAUUGAAUUCUGGUCAUACAUGUACAGGAUAGGUGGGAGACAAAGAGACGUGCACGCCAGUGUACGAGGAGUCGACGUUGGGAUACCACUCUUGUGUGACCGGGGUUCUAACCUGGUAUCGAGAACAGGUACGGGGAGAGUGUCAGGUGGGCAGUUUGACUGGGGCGGUCGCCUCCCAAAGAGUAACGGAGGCGCCCAAAGGUACGCUCAGAUUGGAUGGAAACCAAUCGUCGAGUGCAAUUGCAGAAGCGUGCUUGACUGUGAGACAGACAAGUCGAACAGGGACGAAAGUCGGGAAUAGUGAUCCGGCGGUGCCGAAUGGAAGGGCCGUCGCUCAACGGAUAAAAGCUACCCUGGGGAUAACAGGCUGAUCUCGCCCAAGAGUUCACAUCGACGGCGAGGUUUGGCACCUCGAUGUCGGCUCAUCGCAUCCUGGAGCUGGAUUCGGUUCCAAGGGUUGGGCUGUCCGCCCAUUAAAGCGGUACGCGAGCUGGGUUCAGAACGUCGUGAGACAGUUCGGUCCCUAUCUGUUGUGGGCGUUGGAAAUUUGAGGAGAGCUGCCCCUAGUACGAGAGGACCAGGGUGGACGUUCCUACGGUGCACCAGUUGUCACGCCAGUGGCACAGCUGGAUAGCUGAGAACGGACCGGAUAAACGCUGAAGGCAUCUAAGCGUGAAACCGACUCCAAGAUUAGAUUUCCCAUUGUUUCAAACAAAUAAGACCCCUUGAAGACGACGAGGUUGAUAGGUCAGGGAUGUAAGUACAGUGAUGUAUUGAGUUGACUGAUACUAAUAGGUCGAAGGUUUAUUCAC
rnacentral:rRNA from 1 species